AUGAUUUGGUCAGUAUCUUGCCACUGGGUAUCUGAUUAUGAGGUAUUUGGCAAACGGGAACUUACCGGGGUAUCCGGAUGA
rnacentral:rRNA from 1 species